ACAUGUGGAUGUAGUUUCUACAGAAAGUAAAUAUGUAUGGUAGAAAAAUAGUGCCACUGCUUAUAUCCUCCAGAAAUACUGAAGCUAGAAAAAGGAACAACUUAAACUUGCACAUCCCCACUCUGUCCCAACCUAAUCACCAAUGAAUUGCAUUUGGUUGCUUUGCUUUUGUAUCUGCAGCAAUUUGAAACAUAGCAUAAUUCUACAAACACCUUGGUGCUCCCUAUCUGUGGAACCCUCUUCAACCCUACAAGACGUCUGAGUGGCACUGACAUGAAAGAACAAUCAAUUUGGAUCGCAAAGGGAUAUUUACUGAUAAAGGAGGUUUACAAGGGAAGGUGAAAGGAAACAUCUGUGGAAACUGCAGACAUGAUAAAAGUAAGUCAUGAUUGAGGAAGUGUGAAUUCUGAUGCUUUAAGAUCAGACACACAUCACCUGAAAGACUUCUCCAUGCUGAGCCAUCAGGAGCAUCGGGGUGAGCAAAAGAUGCCCACAAGCUAAUCACUUUCAUCCAAAACAAUCCAUGACCCUCUAUGGCGAAGCACUACCUUCCCAAGGAGAAUAAAAGGGGUAUCUACAAGACAAUAGCACAUCUAAAGGAGGAAGAUGGAGCAUGGCAAACAGAACACUGUAGAUGAUGCCCACACGAAGGAAAUUGGAAGCAGGAAGAGACACUGUAUACCUCUUGCCUUUGAGUACUGAUAUGGUACUUUUCUGCAAUGUUCAACAACACUCCAACUUAAAGAACUGGAAUUUCUGCAUCUUGUGUCAAAAUUGGUCAAGAAUCCCCAGUAAGACAGGAUGGGGGUCCUCUAUCUCAAUUAAGUCAUUCCAUCAAAACUGGAAGAAAUUUUCCCUCAGUGUUAAAGUUUGAAAUGGAAAGUAUCCAUACAGAAGGAGAAAACAAAUCGCUGACACCAGAGGAAUUUUUGAAAGAAUAUUGGUUUUGCUCCUUCAGUAAGCAGCAUGGUUCUUUUUUAUGAAUAAUCUAUUAGAUUCAUCUACAAAUUCCAAAAAUAACAGCAUACUGUCUGAAUUGGCAAAUGGGGAAUACUUUCAAUAGGGCUUUGCAGGUUGCAUGCAACUUGGUUAAAUUCUUCAGGUAGUUUGGCAGCUAUACUAAAUUAUAUCUUGCUGUUAAAUCAUAAAAAAAGAACAAAAAUUUAACACAUUUCCCAUAAGUGCAGCACUCAAAUGACUGCUUUCUUUAUUGUGCUUUAUUUCCUAACAUUAGGUUUAUUGACCAAAGGAGUACCAUCCUUUGUUUUAAUUGCAUUGUUUUGUUGAUGUACAUCAAUAAUAUAAAUCUUUUACAACUGAUCCUUUAUCUUCUAAUGUUUAUUUCUGGUGGAGUAGAUAUGUAUAAUGUGGUAGAUUUGCUCCACUCACAUGUAGAGAUUUUUAAGUCUGAGAAGCAUGACUUUGCCAGAGCUGGUAUCAGCAACAAUCAAAACCUAGCUGAUCGUAUCACUAUAAGAGCAACAGUUUUGGUCCCACUCACUCUGAAUGAUGUAGCUCUUGGAGAGAAGCGACGGAAGGGACUGUUGUUUGAACUGGAAUGAUCAGGGAUAUUUUCCUUUUUCUCCUGUUGUACUCCGCAUUUUUCAUCCUGAAAUGAUAUUUUAACAACUAUUAAAAUUGGUACGUUCUUUCCCAAUUAUUCAAUAAUCUACCUAUUACACCUGGGCAACAUUCCAAGUGGAAAUAACGUCAUUCAAUUUAGCCGGAUCUGGACCUGUUACAUGCCCAGGGUCAGCAUUCUUUCCAAUAGAUUCUUGACUUGGAUGAGGGUGGGUAUUGGAGAGAGAGGGGGGUGGAGAGUAGUUGAAAUUUAUCUAUUGCCAUGGAAUGUAAAAGCUUACUGAAGCUUUGAGUAUGCUGUAACUCUUGGUGAUCCCUUAAAGUCUACAAACAUUCAGUCUGGUUCUUUGUCAGCAGAGUUCAUAUUUUUAAAAACUGCCAAGAUAAAAUUCCUUUUGUUUCUGAUGGGGGCAGUGCAGUGGCCAUAUGUCUAAAUAGAAAUGUUGAUGAAGUAGAUGAUUUCUUCAUUGAGAAGUCAAAAGAAAUCUGAAAGAAUUUGCCUUUUUAUAUUGUGCAUUAUCAUAUCUUUUCCUCUCUCAAAGCAUUUUAAAAACAGUAAAACUUUAAUCCAGCACCCAUAAGACUUCAGUGCUAGAUAGGUACAUUUCCCAAAUUAUUGGAUAUUACUCCUAUUGAUAUCCCAACAUGCUCUUAAUUCAAGAUGUUAUACAGUAGUGUAAAUUUUUCUGUUAACCAGGUAUGUUUAAAUGGAGCAUAGGGAAACAGGGCCUGUGGGUUUAAACAGGAGUGUGGGAAUAGGGCCUGAUGAACCAGAUGCCAAACUAUCAAGGUUCCUGGACAAUCUGAUAGUGGAUUGUUGGAGUUUUACUGUAGAAUGUUUUUUUGAAAUGCAUUCAUUGUUAUUAUGUAAGUAAGAGUUACAAUGAUUAACAGAAACAAUAAAGCUAAUAGCAACUAAAAGUC